rnacentral:rRNA from 1 species
UACGGAGGGUGCAAGCGUUGCUCGGAAUUAUUGGGCGUAAAGGGUAGGUAGGUGGUCUCAUUUGUCUGGGGUGAAAGCCUUGGGCUUAACCCAAGAAGUGCCCCGGAAACGGUGAGACUCGAGUCCUGGAGAGGGUCGUGGAAUUCCCGGUGUAGCGGUGAAAUGCGUAGAGAUCGGGAGGAACACCAGAGGCGAAGGCGGCGACCUGGACAGGCACUGACACUCAACUACGAAAGCGUGGGGAGCAAACAGG